GGCACCGUUCAGGAGGAACUCCGUUUUUCUUGUUUUGGGCAGCCUGAAAAUUCCCGUUUCUAAUUCCGAUUUGAAUGUAACUCGUCACAGGUUAUGGCCAAUUAGACAAUUGUUGCUCUAUCUAUGGAGAAAGAAGAAAAAACAGUCACUCCAGAAAAGGCCACAACAUCGUUCGCUUGACCCACUGUGGAGACGCUGCUGCGGUUGGAGCCUCUCCCCAGUCCGUUAUCAUCUGACGGUGGAAGGAGGGGUCUUAAAACGUUUUCUGCAGAAUACAGUUGGGUAAUUUUCAAAUUGCGAUCGGGGCAUAGAUAGAAACCAGAACUGAGUGCACCGACUAAUGGAGUGAAUGGUCCUGAUCCAGCCAUGGGAAGGAAAGAAGCCACCAGAAAACUGCUGGAUUGAGAAGGAGAUAAACUUUUGCUUCGGGGACAGAAGGAUGGGGAAGGGAGCAGCUGCCAAUCAAAAUCUUUCCUUUCCUGCAAGAACACUGUAUAAAAA